CUACGGGGGGCACCAGUGGGGAAUCUUAGACAAUGGGCGCAAGCCUGAUCUAGCCAUGCCGCGUGAGUGAUGAAGGCCUUAGGGUCGUAAAGCUCUUUCGCUGGGGAAGAUAAUGACGGUACCCAGUAAAGAAACCCCGGCUAACUCCGUGCCAGCAGCCGCGGUAAUACGGAGGGGGUUAGCGUUGUUCGGAAUUACUGGGCGUAAAGCGCGCGUAGGCGGACUGUUAAGUCGGGGGUGAAAUCCCGGGGCUCAACCCCGGAACGGCCUUCGAUACUGGCAGUCUGGAGUUCGAGAGAGGUGAGUGGAAUUACGAGUGUAGAGGUGAAAUUCGUAGAUAUUCAGAGGAACACCAGUGGCGAAGGCGGCUCACUGGCUCGAUACUGACGCUGAGGUGCGAAAGUGUGGGGAGCAAACAGGAUUAGAUACCCUUGUAGUC
rnacentral:rRNA from 1 species